CCUACGGGAGGCAGCAGUGGGGAAUAUUGCACAAUGGGGGAAACCCUGAUGCAGCGACGCCGCGUGAGUGAAGAAGUAUUUCGGUAUGUAAAGCUCUAUCAGCAGGGAAGAAGAAAGACGGUACCUGACUAAGAAGCCCCGGCUAACUACGUGCCAGCAGCCGCGGUAAUACGUAGGGGGCAAGCGUUAUCCGGAUUUACUGGGUGUAAGGGGAGCGUAGACGGCUGGGCAAGUCUGAAGUGAAAGCCCAGGGCUCAACCCUGGGACUGCUUUGGAAACUGUGGAGCUAGGGUGCUGGAGAGGUAAGUGGAAUUCCUAGUGUAGCGGUGAAAUGCGUAGAUAUUAGGAGGAACACCAGUGGCGAAGGCGGCUUACUGGACAGUAACUGACGUUGAGGCUCGAAAGCGUGGGGAGCAAACAGGAUUAGAUACCCUUGUAGUC
rnacentral:rRNA from 1 species